ACUCCCAAAUUCAAAACCUCAACGCCCCCACCCAAGCUCGUGGCCCCACCGCGCUUAGCUCCCAGCAGUUCGAGCCUGGAGCAUCCUCCACGGCUCCGCCGGGUUUCUCCUUCGCGCCGCCGCUAGGCCUCUUCUCUCUUGCGCUGGUACCUGGUAGCCACGUGCUUGAGGAAGGCUGCUUGAGGCAGAGGAAGAGGCGGCAGUGAGGGAGACAAGGAGCGCGGUGACCCUGGAUUCACCGGAUGCAGCGGCCUCGAAUUCGAGCAGCGCGCAUCACUCACGACGGAGAAGACGAAGACGCGGGGUCGCUUUCCACGAUUGCCAAACGGGCCGCUGUUACGGAGGAGGAUUAGGAGCACACGCGGACACGCCCUCGGCUCCCUACCCGAGGAACUGCCACUCUCUCCGCCGCGUCCCCAGUUCAAUUCCCCCCAGGCUCCCGAAAGGCAGGGCAACCCAAACGGCAUCGGCCGCCCGACAGAACGCGGCCGGAGCAGUUCGUCGCGCCGCGCGGCCUAUCAAAAGUUUUCGGACGGAGACGAGACUGGGUUCUGAACCCGACCCGCCGCAGAUAGCCUGGCCGCAGUGAUCUCUAGCGGGGAUCGAGCUGUGCCGGAUGGAUCGAGUGGGGCUCCAGGCGUUCUGCAAGCGGCACGGCCUCUCUGCCAGGGGCUCCAACGCCGAUCUCAUUGCCCGUCUUGACGCCGCGCUCGGGAGGGCUGCUGGUGCGGAGGAGGCGGCGGCUGGAGUGGCAGCGAGGAAGGCUUGUGUGAGGCAAACUGGCGGCGAUGCUGACGAGACGAAGAAGGUUACUUUUGUAGAGGUGGGCGGAGAUGUCCCUGUGAAGCUGUCUAGGAGGAAUUCGCUGGGCGCACAUGUCCCUGUGAGGCGGUCCAGGAGGAAUUCGCUGGGCGCAGAUGUCCUUGUGAGGCAGUCCAGCAGAAACUCGCUAUGUGCUGAGGCUCAAGACUGUGAACUGAGGUCCCAGGUCACCUGUUCGCCUGUUGUUGCCAAGACAAGGGGGAAGUCUGCUCAAGCCGGUUCUGUAGAGGUGGGCGCAGUUGUCCCUUUGAGGCGUUCCAGGAGAAAUUCACUGAGAGCUGCCGAGUCUGAAGAAGUAGAAGUGGCUGUUUUUGUUGACAGGAAGCGCAAGUGCAAGAACCAGGAGAAUGAUAAGGGUGUUGUUCUCAGCGCUCAGGUUGGAGCUUCGUCCAGAGUUACAAGAAGAUCAAGCUUGGCGGUGGCUGCUGCUGUGUUGCCUCCUCUUGUUGAACCGAAGAGAGGGAGGGGAGAAGCAGCUGGCGUUCAGACUUCUACUCAGGUGGAAGUACCGGCUAGGAUUACAAGAUCUCGCUCAAUAGCACCGGUUGUAAUGUCACCUACUGUGGUUGAGAACAAGAGGAGGAAGAAUGGAGAUGCACAAACAAAUGUAGAGCUGCCUACGGUUUCAGAUGUGCCUAGAAAUGAUGCUCCUGUCACCAGGUCUUUGAGAAAUAGAGUUGUCCAGGUUAACAACAGUGUGGUGGACGCGAACAAACCGGCAACUAAAGAACCUGUUAGGGGAUUGAGACGAAGAUCUGUUGUCUCAGAAUUGCACGAGAAAGAGAAAGAUGUGGAGAAACAAUUAAUUGUGAAGCAACCUGUUAGGCGCUCAUCACGUAAAUCUGUUCUACCUGAUAUGCUUGAGAACAAUAUCCAAAGCGGUAAAUCUCAAGAUAAUGAGAAGGAACAGAAACUAAAGGAACCAAUUAGGCGAUCAAGGAGAUCUGUUGCCACAGUGUUGCUUGAGGAACAAAACAGUGGUCUUCAUGAGGAAAAAUUGUCAAAACUUACUAUGAGGAGAUCAACACGUAAAUCUGUUGCACUUAAUGGUGUUGAAAAGACGAGCAUGGAUCACACUGAAAUAGUUGUGCAGUCCGAAACUUUAAAGGGAAGGUCUUCAAAGAGGAGACGGACAAUUGAUCCAGUAGAAAUGAUGCCUGUCAAGGAGGCAAAUGAUGACAUGAUUAUCAGGGAAGCAACAAUAGACACACACAAAGCUACUCAUGAGUACAAUAAGUCUACUAGCAGAAUUCAAGAAAGUUGUCAGGUUAAUGCCACAAGAGAAGAGUUCUCUUCAGGUCCAUUGCUUGUAACAGUAACACCGACUAAUGAGAUUUACACCGUGCAGAGUAUACAUGAAGUGGUACCUGGGUCAGAAUCUGGUGACAAUGCAAAGGAAAAUUUAGAUAAGAGUAAACAGCCUCAGGAACAUCAUGACAUUCAAGCUGUUGAUAGCCAUUUAUCUGAAACAAGAAGUGGGGAAUUAGAUCAAUCAUCAUGCAUUGCAGGACUAGUACCACACAAUUGUGUUGCCUCAGAUGACAAAGCUUUGAUCAGUGGAGAUCGUGUAGAGCAAAGCCCUGUAUCUGGAGAAGGGAGAGUUGGCUUGGAAGCAAAUGCCAUUGAGUCUGGAGAAAAGAACCUAACUGGCAUCAUGUCCACUGCUCUCUACACCAAAAGUCUGCAACAUGAUAUUGACAUAGUAGCUGAAGAGACUGCCAAAGGUGACCUCGAAAAACCUUCACUAUGUUCAUUAGCACAAAAGUGUAAACAUCAAUGUGGUUUGCUUGAGGAAAUAGUAUUGCCCUCAAGGAACAUGGGAUCUUUACCAAAUGCAGAAGAAUCACCAUUUGGCCUAGAGUCUUUGUUCUGGCAGGAAAGCAUACAUGAAUCUGUGGAAUAUGGUGCACCUGCUUCUGCAACAACUCAUACUGAAAAUGGAUUUGGUGAAUCAAAAGGUUGCCAUGUCAAGUCUGCACUCGAAAAUACUCAUGUGUCAGAACCUUUUUCCCACCAUGAUACUGAAGAAAAUAUUUCCAAAAUUGGUGGUUGCAUGCAUACAUCCCAGCAAGAUAAUGGAAUGGAAGAUGCUAUCGAGAAUCCUUUAAUUAGUUUAUCAACUCCUGGUUGCAAGCAUGAAGGUGCUUUGUCUGAGGAAGCAGUGCACACAAUGAAGGAUUAUGCUGGAACAUGCUCAUCAAAUCCCAGGGUACCCAUGCAGUUGCAUGACGACCUUGCAUUCCCAGGUCCUGAAAAAUCAGGAGAUGAAUCAGUCAAUAUUGAGGUUAAAGUACACCAUGGUUCUAAUCUGUCUCAGUUAGGAUCAACUGAUCUCUUGGAUGAUACUGAAUUGCUUCACCAGGGCCAUAACUAUAAAGAUCGAUCCAAUGAGGAUAUGCUAGAGCAGGCUGCUUCUGAACCCUGCACAAAUGGGGAUGAUAUCGUGGAGGCUGCGGCUGCUACCAAAUGCUUAGAAAGUGGAGCGAUGCUGGUUCCAUCCGAAGAGAGAUCAAAUUUGAACGAUAGGCAGCUUACCCCCAAGCUGGAAAGCCCAGACAUCAUGGAAUCUGGCCUUAACUGUGAUAAAGAUGCUCGCAAUACUUUGGACAAUGGAUCUGUUGUGGCUGUUGCUGGUAAGAGAACUCCAUCUGGUUCUGGUCACUAUGAACACAAUGUCUACCAAGUUUCAGGCAUUUGUGCUACGUCUGAAGCUGCACCAGUCGGAGUGGUAGAAACUGGAAUAGCUGUGGAAACGUCAUCCCUGGUAGAUGACCAACCUAAUCCUGUGCUGGAUGGUGAUGAAGUUGAGAAGCACAGCUUAAACUGUGAGGCAGACACUGGUCGGAUUCUUGGUACUGGAUCUGUUACGAGCAACACAACCCUUGUGCCCAAGGACGGUCACACCAUUUGUUGCCAGGAACUGGAGCUACCAAAUGGCUUAUCCUCGUUUCUAUUUCCCGAAGAAUCUGGAAUUUGUCAGUAUGCGAGUGUCUCAGGAUCAGCUUCUACUAUGUGUCAGGGCCUUGCCUGCAGCACGUAAAUGAAAGCACCAGUACGCAAGCGACUUACAAUAUUGAAACGCUCAAUCAGCAGCAUCACGAGGAGUACGACCAAACCGCUCGUGGUAUCCUGGCUAGCAGUUUUCCUGAAGCUGUAGGGAUUGAACAGUCAGGUCUGGCCCCUGCUGCAGAAGCACCAGUGUUGGCAGUGCCAGAUGGGCAGCCUAACAGCAAGCUGGAGGGCAACGAAGUGGAUGAGCACAGCUGUAGCUAUGAUGCCGAGUUCCUGAACAGAGAAGCGUCUAACCUUCACAAAGAUCUGUUUAGUGAAGAUAGUCAUCGAAGUCAUCUACCUUCUCUGAGAUCUCCUCAACGAUCUGCCUAUUUUCACAACGGAAAUGAUUCGGGUUCAGUAGGAGUCUGUCAAAGCAGCAGGCGAGGAGGUGUAGACGGACUCCGCGCUAAGCGGCAGAGUUUCAAAGUUUCCAGCAGCAUAAAAGGAAGCUACGUCGCCAAGACUAGCGUCCCUCGUCCGAAGCCAGGGGACAGCCUGAGCCAGUCUGCGAUAGCGCUGCGCGGGGUCAGGAAGAACACGACCGCUGUUGAAGUUGGUGGCCAUCCUGUGAGUUUGAAGCCAAACGCUGUUCGCUCGGUCGCCAAGGACCCAUCAUCCAGCAGAGGACCACCCAGGGAUAGCCUGAGCCAGUCUGCGAUAGCGCUGCCUAAACACAGAAAGGACGCCACUGCUGUUAAGAGCAAGACUAAUAAUAAACCUUGGCUAUAAUAAGGCAGCAGGCUUACAUACAUCACUACUCCGAUUUCAUACUCCACUGUACAAACAUUGUAAUUUGAUGGUUGUGUGGUUCCGGAUUUAUUUUCAGCACGGAAAGAAGGAAAAAAAAGAAGGAAAUCAGAAAAUAGUCCUGUUCGUUGUUAUCGCGAUCA